UACGUAGGGGGCAAGCGUUGUUCGUAAUUACUGGGCGUAAAGGGCGCGUAGGCGGCACGGCAAGUCAGGAGUGAAAGGCCUGGGCUCAACCGAGGAACUGCUUUUGAGACUGCCGAGCUAGAGUGCAGAAGGGGCAACUGGAAUUCCCAGUGUAGCGGUGAAAUGCGUAGAUAUUGGGAAGAACACCUGAGGCGAAGGCGGGUUGCUGGGCUGACACUGACGCUGAGGCGCGAAAGCCAGGGGAGCAAACGGG
rnacentral:rRNA from 1 species